UUAUCUUCCGUCCUUUGGAGAACCGAUUCAAAUCCGUUUACGGGAUGCUUACGCCGUUGCUUACGCUCCUAACGCGUCAUUUACAGGAAUAUUCGAGAUAUCUCUAUGGUCUCAACGACUGGGUGAAAACACCACGUAAGCUACGCGCAAAGCGAUCAAAUGUUUAGAGGAUUACCGCAACAUGCGACGUCAGGCGAAGUUUGAAUUCUCCUACCACUUACGAUGUACAUCCUCGGUCAAGCAUCACGGAAGCAGUGGACAAUGCAGAGCAUAUUUACCAUAGCAAGGUGCCAGUGUAGUGCUCGAAAUUGAACAAAUCACAAACUUUCGCAUGAAUAAGAAGUUGGUGAACCUUGCAAUAGGAGAUUCAGAUGGAUUGAGACUGACCGGGUAUACGUUCAGUCUUACAAACCGGGCGUACAACAGACAAACCAUAGACGGUAGAAGAGAUGAGCAGUUCAUGCUCUACGUCAUCUACGUUUACGGCUAUUAUAAUUCUUCUCGGUGAAAUAGACCUACUGGGGAUGCCACGUUAAAAAAUACUGGGCGGACAUAUAUACAGGGUGAGUUUUUUAUCUUGAGACAUCAAAAUAUCUCAAGAAAUACGCAUUGUACAAAGAAAUGUUCGAGACUAAAACUGUUUGAUUUUGAUGGGGAAAACUAACCCCGUAAAAUUCAACCCUCCACCCCAACCCCUGAGGGCGUGAGGGGUAGUAACUUUGAAAUCUCAAAUGGAAACCACUAUUUUUUAUUGCAGAUUCAAAUUGUCCAUGAGAAAAUACACAAGUUUUAUUCGAAAUUUCUAUUUCAACGGAUACAAAUGGCGCUGUAAUUAUUGAAAAUCAAAUUUUUCAUGAAGUAGUACGUGUUAAACGGUUCCAAGAGUACGAUUUGGAAACUAUCGGAUUGCUUGUUUUUGUGUGAUCUUUCACAUCAAGUUCUCAAAAUGGUGACCUUCCACUUCGAUGCAUUUGUUGAUCCGCGCUUCGAAUGAUUGUACACAACUGAGAAGUGUCUCUGGUGUUAUUUUCGCACAAGCAUUUCUGAUUCGCUGAAUAAUGUUCUCACGAGUCGUUGGCACUUCUUGAUAAACUUCACCCCUUUGAGAACAUGAUGUGAAAGAUCAUUCAAAAACAAGUAAUCCGAUAGUUUCCAAAUCGUACUCUUGGAACCGUUUAACACGUACUGCUUCAUGAAAAAUUUGAUUUUUAAGAAUUACAGCGCCAUCUGUAUCCGAUCGAAAAAAAAAAUUUCGAAUAAAACUUGUGUAUUUUCUCAUGGACAAUUUGAAUCUGCAAUAAAAAAUAGUGGUUUCCAUUUGAGAUUUCAAAGUUACUACCCCUCACGCCCUCAGGGGUUGGGGUGGAGGGUUGAAUUUUACGGGGUUAGUUUUCCCCAUCAAAAUCAAACAGUUUUAGUCUCGAACAUUUCUUUGUACAAUGCGUAUUUCUUGAGAUAUUUUGAUG